GAGUUUGAUCGUGGCUCAGGAUGAACGCUGGCGGCGUGCCUAAUACAUGCAAGUCGAGCGAACGGACGAGAAGCUUGCUUCUCUGAUGUUAGCGGCGGACGGGUGAGUAACACGUGGAUAACCUACCUAUAAGACUGGGAUAACUUCGGGAAACCGGAGCUAAUACCGGAUAAUAUUUUGAACCGCAUGGUUCAAAAGUGAAGACGGUCUUGCUGUCACUUAUAGAUGGAUCCGCGCUGCAUUAGCUAGUUGGUAAGGUAACGGCUUACCAAGGCAACGAUGCAUAGCCGACCUGAGAGGGUGAUCGGCCACACUGGAACUGAGACACGGUCCAGACUCCUACGGGAGGCAGCAGUAGGGAAUCUUCCGCAAUGGGCGAAAGCCUGACGGAGCAACGCCGCGUGAGUGAUGAAGGUCUUCGGAUCGUAAAACUCUGUUAUUAGGGAAGAACAUAUGUGUAAGUAACUGUGCACAUCUUGACGGUACCUAAUCAGAAAGCCACGGCUAACU
rnacentral:rRNA from 1 species